rnacentral:lncRNA from 1 species
CACCAACGUAAAACAAGAAGAAGAAGAAUCAGAGUAGUCGGAGAAGAAGAAACAAUAACACGAACCGGCUAAUCUUUUCAAUAUUGUUUGUCAUUUUCACGAGUUUUUGCUUCUUUAAAAUAGUGUGUGAACGCGUUAAAUUGCUACAUUUAAAUCGAUACCGUUGUUUGUGUGGCCGUACAGAGCCACGGUGUGUUUUUUAGCGCAGCAUUCCGCUAGCUUAGGUUAUCAUCAGCGGUGUGUCGGUGGGAACAGGCCGGGUAGAGAAUGAACUCUGUGGGGUACUGCGUCACUCUGGGCCCGCAGCUUCGCGAUGACGAGGCCCUGGUGGUGGAGAACGCCAUUCGACUGGCUGUGGACUCCAUCGUUAACGUUCUGUUCGGUGUGAACAGCUCCAGGGCCCGGGAAUACCACCGGGUCCUGUCCGACCGGGACAAAGAGAUCCAGCGGCUGGAGACCAGGCUGAGGGAGACGGAGGAAGAGCUGGAGGUGCUCCGUCAGCUGGGCUGCGGCUGCGGGGGGAACGGGACCCAGAGAAGCCUCGGGAGAAGCCCGAGCUCUGGUGACCUGAGAGUAGCAGGGCAGAGCGGACCCGAGGCGGUGUGUGAGGACUCAGAGGAACCAGAGCAACAACAGCAGCAGCAGCACUGCGAAAUGACUUUAACACUGGGCCUUUAUGCAGAACCUCCAGCUCACGUGUCCCCCCCCGACAUGGAGUCUGCGCUCCACCCCUCCCAAAGCCGUCGAAUGGAGAAGGAGACGAGUCACGCAUUUGCUCCUUCAGGAAUGUCGUGCGAUAGGAACGUUCCUCCGUCUGCUGGCGCCCCCCUCGUCGUCAAAGAGGAGCCACACGACAUCAACUCUGUCCUCAUCAAGUGGGAGAUGAACGAAGAUGGAGCCCAGGUGCCUCCAGAGAGCACGCACAGCGCCAGUGUCGCAAACGUGGAGAGUGGAGACGGGACGCAUUUUGGAGAGAUCCCUCAUGUAGACGUCCAGGCCCUGAGAAUGAAUACGAGUGAACAGAUCAGUAAAACGCUGGUGCUGGUGAGGUGUCGCCAACAGUUGAUGUAUGUGACGUUGGAAGAAGCUGACGAGCACUUUGACUUUCACAGAUUCAAUGAACAAGGUACGUCAUUCUCACCGUCAGUUCCACCUUGUAGAGCAGAGAUGGGCAACUUUUAUCAUUGUUUUUGUUUAUUUGUGUGUUUCUGUUGUAAUUUUGUAUAUUUUUCUGUGUGUUGUUGUUGUCUUUUGUGUUUUUUUAAUCAUAUUGUUUAGUUUUAUUAUCAUUGUGAGUCAUUUUAUGUUUUGUGUAUAUGUGUGCGUAUGUGUUUGUGAUGAGUCAUUUUUUUGUGUAUAUUUUUAUUUUUCUGUUGUUAUUUGUGUG